UUUAGGUUUUGGUCUAUGGGGUUCCAUUUGUGACGAAGUUAGCUGGUCGGACGACGCGCCGACGCGAUGCUUCGUUACCUAGUUCGCCGCCAUGCGCUCCCUCCGUCGAUGCAACUCCGUCUCGUAUUCUUCUCCGCUGGCACUUCCGUCUCCUCAUCAGGCGUCGCCGCUUCUCCCGAUCCCCUCUUCAUGGUUGAGUACCUCGUGAAUACGUGCGGGUUCUCCGCCGACGAUGCUUCUAAGGUCUCAAAGUCGCUCCCCCGUAACAAGUCCACUGAGAAUCCCGACGUUGUUCUUGGUUUCUUAAGAUAUCAGGGCUUUGAUGGCGCUAAUCUCAGAAAGGUAAUAUCUCUGAGGCCAAGAUUGCUCGGCUGCCAUGUGGAGAAGAACCUCGCUCCAAAAUUUCAAAUUUUCCGCGACAUGGGGUUAUCUGAGUCCGACGUCAUUGAUGUCGUUCUGCUGCACCCGGCAAUUAUCGACCUUAACUUCCAGAACACGCUUCUUCCUCGACUGAAGGUUUGGGAAAGUCUAUUUGGAUCAAAGGAGAUCCUCCUCAACAAUCUCCGGAGGCAUGGAUGGUUUAUGACCACCAACAUUGAGAAUGUGGUACGCCCUAACAUGAACUUCUUACAGGAUGAAUGCGGUAUUCCUUUAGAGCAGUUAUCUUUUGUCCUUAGAAGGCACCCAUGCUUCAUCGUGCAGAAUCCUGAAUCCCUCCGUGCUUUGGUAGAUAGAGCUGAGGGGAUCGGAAUUCCCCGGGGAUCUGGGAUGUUCCUCUGGAUCCUUGAUGUGCUGCAUGGGGUCAGUAGGGAAAAAUUCGAGGCCCAAGUCAAACUCAUGAACAGCUUUGAUUUCUCGAACUCGGAUUUCGUUGCUGCAAUCAAGAAAUAUCCAUGGUUUUUAUGGCUUUCCACAGAGACAUUGCAGAGAAAGAUGGAAUUUUUAGUCAAGGAUGUUGGAAUUACACCUUCAAACAUUGCUAAGCAGCCAGUGUUUCUAGCAUUGAGUUUGGAAAAGAGGGUAAUUCCUCGAUUUCAUGUGCUGGAGAUAUUGAAAUCUGAAGGGUUAUGGACUUCACAAGACACACUACGUACAAUUUUCUUAUCACCGGGACCUAAGUUUAUGCAGAAGUAUGUGCUCCCUUACAAAGAUAAAUUACCCAAACUGUUUGAAGUCUUGUGAAUUGUACUUGAGUUCAAAGGAAAUGAUCCGGACUGAGAAUGAAUGCCAGGAUUUAUUUGGAGUUGGGUGUAUGCCAGGCUGCAAUUCCUUUAUGCCAAGUGAGUAUAAACAAGAUUAGUUGAAUCAACCAAAACUGAAGGUACUAGAUCAAAGGAAACUCUGUUUGUAAUAAUUCAUAGGUACUUAAAAGGAUCUGAUUAUUACUAUCUUUAUAGUCUUGCACACUGUUCAUUGUUGGAAAAGUAUUCAUCUAGUUAACUCUGAAUGGCUGGGGCAUAUAUCUUGUUAUUGUUGUUGUGGUGGUGGUCUAGGGAUGAUAAACCUUUGGUGUGCUAUCUUAUUUUGUUGUGCAAAUAAAUCCAUCAUUCUUUUGACAAUACUAAUUUUUAUAUUGAGAUGAUAUUGUGGAUCAUGAUCACAAAGAACAGGUAACACUCUUGGUCAUUUCAAUCAUCAUAGAAUUCAAGUAGAUGAUUGAAAUAGAGGAGAAUGUCAAGUAAUUUUUGUGAUCGUAAAAUAGCUCUAAGAUUUUUUUUAAAAAAAUUAUAAAAUGGUGGUUAAACUAGAGAUGACAAUUUCCUUUUGAUCCUAUGGAGAAUUCAAUACCCGAUCCGAAUGGAGGAAGAUAUGUUGAGAUUUUUUUAUACCCGAUUAAAUAAUCGAGUAAUCGGAUAUAGAGAUUUUCAAGUUCGGGU